rnacentral:rRNA from 1 species
UGAGUGAGUGGCGGACGGGUGAGUAACACGUGGGUAACCUGCCCUAAAGUGGGGGAUAACAUUUGGAAACAGAUGCUAAUACCGCAUAAAACCUAACACCGCAUGGUGUAGGGUUGAAAGAUGGUUUCGGCUAUCACUUUAGGAUGGACCCGCGGUGCAUUAGUUAGUUGGUGAGGUAAAGGCUCACCAAGACCGUGAUGCAUAGCCGACCUGAGAGGGUAAUCGGCCACACUGGGACUGAGACACGGCCCAGACUCCUACGGGAGGCAGCAGUAGGGAAUCUUCCACAAUGGACGAAAGUCUGAUGGAGCAACGCCGCGUGAGUGAAGAAGGUUUUCGGAUCGUAAAACUCUGUUGUUGGAGAAGAAUGUAUCUGAUAGUAACUGAUCAGGUAGUGACGGUAUCCAACCAGAAAGCCACGGCUAACUACGUGCCAGCAGCCGCGGUAAUACGUAGGUGGCAAGCGUUGUCCGGAUUUAUUGGGCGUAAAGCGAGCGCAGGCGGUUUCUUAAGUCUGAUGUGAAAGCCUUCGGCUCAACCGAAGAAGUGCAUCGGAAACUGGGAAACUUGAGUGCAGAAGAGGACAGUGGAACUCCAUGUGUAGCGGUGAAAUGCGUAGAUAUAUGGAAGAACACCAGUGGCGAAGGCGGCUGUCUGGUCUGUAACUGACGCUGAGGCUCGAAAGCAUGGGUAGCAAACAGGAUUAGAUACCCUGGUAGUCCAUGCCGUAAACGAUGAGUGCUAGGUGUUGGAGGGUUUCCGCCCUUCAGUGCCGCAGCUAACGCAUUAAGCACUCCGCCUGGGGAGUACGACCGCAAGGUUGAAACUCAAAGGAAUUGACGGGGGCCCGCACAAGCGGUGGAGCAUGUGGUUUAAUUCGAAGCAACGCGAAGAACCUUACCAGGUCUUGACAUCCUUUGACCACUCUAGAGAUAGAGCUUUCCCUUCGGGGACAAAGUGACAGGUGGUGCAUGGUUGUCGUCAGCUCGUGUCGUGAGAUGUUGGGUUAAGUCCCGCAACGAGCGCAACCCUUAUUACUAGUUGCCAGCAUUUAGUUGGGCACUCUAGUGAGACUGCCGGUGACAAACCGGAGGAAGGUGGGGACGACGUCAAAUCAUCAUGCCCCUUAUGACCUGGGCUACACACGUGCUACAAUGGAUGGUACAACGAGUUGCGAGACCGCGAGGUUUAGCUAAUCUCUUAAAACCAUUCUCAGUUCGGAUUGUAGGCUGCAACUCGCCUACAUGAAGCCGGAAUCGCUAGUAAUCGCGGAUCAGCAUGCCGCGGUGAAUACGUUCCCGGGCCUUGUACACACCGCCCGUCACACCAUGAGAGUUUGUAACACCCAAA